rnacentral:misc_RNA from 1 species
AAGUCGUAACAAGGUUUCCGUAGGUGAACCUGCGGAAGGAUCAUUAUUGAAUAUUCCUGAUGAGUUGUAGCUGGCUCUUUGGAGCAUGUGCACGCUUGUCUUGAUCUAUUCAUCCACCUGUGCACAUUUUGUAGUCUUUUGGGCUGAGUCGAGUAUCGGAUGGAUGUCUAUCCGGAUGUGAGGACUGCUGAGUGCGAAAGCAUACGGCUCUUCUCUGUGUGACCUCACCCUUGAGUACUAUGUAUUCAUAUACCACAUAGUAUGUUGUAGAAUGUGAUCAUUGGGCCUUUGUGCCUAUAAUAAUCAUAUACAA